AAUUCUGUCUCUACCUUACACUCCAUAUCACUCUCUCUCUACCCUUUCUCUCUCUCAUUCUGAUAAGCCUCCCUCCUCCUCUCUCUCUCUCUCUCUCUCUACCAUUUUUUCUCUCUCCCCAUCCCUUCUCUAUCUUCCUUAUCUCUCUACCCCUUCUCCCUCUUCCUCCUCUCUCUCCCUCCUCUCUCUACCCAAGCAACAACCGCCGCUAUAUACUCUGCGGACUACGCCCAAACCGUCGCCCUUGUCCAAGUCGCUACCGCGCCAAGCCGACGCUGUCCCUGCCGCGUCCCUAGCCAUCGCCGCCUAACGCGCCUCAAGUCGUUGCUGUCCAAACCUCUAUCUGCGCCGAAGUCAUAGUUGAAGCUAACAGUCCCAUUGCUUCGGAAGCAAGCACCAAAACAAAGGAUGGAGUAUUUUUAUUUGCUUACACCAAAAUGUAAGCCAUGACAGUUUUUUUUCGUUUUUAAUUAUCACAUUUUUUUUGUCAAAUAAAAUGAAGGAAGAACGGAAAAACAAGAGCCCCAUUUUAUGUCAAACAAAGAAAAGGGAAAAGUUGCAAAAAUUUACUGGGACUCUGUGAGGAAGAAGUUGAAAAAAAAAGAAAAGAAAAGAAAAGGGGAAAGUAAAAGAGGAAAAUGGAAGAAGGAAUGGAAGGUAUAAGGAAAAAAAAAAAACAAAAAAAAAAUAAAAAAAUUAAAUAUAAAAAAAAACUGUGCUCCUCCAUUUUUUAUAUUUAGUUAAAUUAAAAUGACCAAAAAUAACUAAAAUUAUUAAAUCUGGAGAACCUACUAAUGAAUUUAAUAAAUUUAUAAAAUUUUUGAUAAAGUUUGUUUAGUCAAAAAAAUUAAAUGUUCAGGAAGUCUCUAUACAUUUUUACCAUAAAAAAAUUUAGUAAAAAAAUAUGUACAGACCCGCUUAAUUAUUAAACGCUUUCAAAUAGAAAACUCCAAAUUAUUUUUUAGCAAAUUUUAAUAAUUUUUAAUUUUUUAUGCUUAAUUUUAGUUAAUUAAAUAAAAUUUGUUAAAAUUUAUAUAAAUUAAAAUAUUUAAAUUGUCUAAAAUACUACCUAUCCGUCGCGAAGCGUGGGCCCUACACUAAUUAUUGUAAACUUUUUUUUUUUUUUGANUAUAAAGCACAACACGAAUGCUUAGGUUCGCCCCUCAUAAAUUGUUUAUGUACCGACAAAGUUAAGCAGUACUAUGGAUUGAACGCGCAAAUUUGUUCGCCUCUCAUAAAUUGUUUAUGUACCAACAAAGUUAAGCAGUACUAUGGAUUGAACGCGCAAAUUUAUCAACAACACGUCCUUAAAAAUAGAAUUCAAUAUAUUUUCAAAUUCCCGCUAUAUACAAAUUUCUAUCGUUUGGCAUCCUUUUUUUUUUUAGAGAUAGGUAAUACGCUAUCCGCUUCGUUUAUUUCAUUUAGAAAUAAAUUUAGCCGGAAAUGUGAAUCAACUAGGAUUCGAACUUGGGUCUCGAUAUCAACCACCAAACUUUUUGCCACUUGCUCUAGGGACGGCGGGUUAGACUUUUGGUUGUAAGCUAGCACUACUCUUCCGCAAAUAUUACAAAUCGUGAAAAUGACGGCCAGAAUAAAAAUUCCCAGCCACAGGAAUUAAACACAAUUUGCUACCAACCAAAUCAACUUAGCAUUUUUCCUUGACUCAAAUGAUCAGAUAAAACAUCGUAAACAAAAAACCAAAUACGUACCACCACAAUAAGAGAGAGAGAGAGAGAGAGAGAGAGAGAGAGAGGCGCAAUUAUUGCACCCGGUUUCAUGCCUCCAAAGAAACACAUCUAAGGCAACCACAAAUUAAGAAAGAAACAAAUGUACUUCUCCCUAUUUUCUUAGCUUAGCUUAGCUUAGCCGCUUCCACCGAGCACUCCCUUGAGCUUCUUCACCUCCGCGUCGUCGAGGAAAGUCACCUUCUCCACCACCGCCGAUGGCAGGCUGUUCGCGAAGAGCGCAAAUGACGUGAUCUGCAGCCCCGGGCUGGGGCUGCUUAAGCUCACGAAGGCCACCGCCGUCUUUCUGCCCGCGUUUAUCUACAUUGAACAUAAAAUAUUAAAAUACUGUUCUCUCUCUCUCUCUCUCUCUCUUAUAUUGUAGUUGAAGCUUUUAGAGUAAUGAGCUGUUUGGUUCCUCAAAAAAAAUAUCAAAAAGAAAAAAUUUCUAAGAUAAAGUUUUAUAUGAAAAAUAUUUUUUCAGUUUUUCGCCUGUUUGACUUUUAAAAAUAUUAUUAUUUUGAACCAAACAGGCAGAAAAUGAAAGAAAAAAAACUUCAUAGAAAAGUUUUUUCCCCUGAAAAACUUGUUUUCAUACUUUUCUGAGAAACAAAACAACUCCUAAUCGGUUGUUUCCCAACCUGGAAGUGGAGCUGCCCCUGCGGGAACACCAUCAUGUCGCCCUUCUUUAGGUAUUUGUAGUACACGCCGUUCGCCGAGGAGAUGAAGCCUGCCAGGAUGUAGCCAUGCACGACAUAGAGGAGCUCCGACCCGGCCGGGUGGGUGUGGAGAGGGACCACACCGCCCACAGCUAUGUCGAGACGGCCCGCGGAGAUGCCCAACCUGUUUGAAUGUAAAAUAUUAAAACACCAUUACUUGCCUACAAACAAAAUCAAGCAUCUAAAUCAAAAAAAUAAAAUAAGAAAACGUAAAAUCGUACAGAACUUACACGAAUUGACCACUUUGAUUUGACUAUAUAUCCGGCCAGCCUUUCAAAAUUUUAAUUUUACUAUAUAAACUUUCAGUUUAUUUGAUUUGAGCCGGUCGACGAUGCUUUAACUUAAAAGUGCAAAUUUGUUAGUAUAGUCCUUUAUAUAAUUCUUACAACUAUAAAUAUAUUAAAGUAAGUAAUUAGUUGAAAUUUUGAUGUCAAAUUAUUAUUAAUUGAUUCAAAUCAAACAAAUUAAAAGGUUGGACAAUAAAAUCAAAAUUUUAAAAGUUUGGAUAUAUAAUACCUUUCAUUUUGUUUGAUUUGAGUUAGUCGACGACGCUUUGACUUAAAAGGUUGAAUAUGUCAUCUAUCUUUACAAGCUUGUUAGUACAUAAUUCUCACAGCUAUAAAGAACUCCGUUGGAUUGGGAACUAGAGGAGGGAUAAGAGCCUUAUCCCCCAAUUGUACCCAAACAAAAAUUUUUGGAUGAGAACUAAUAGUUCCCGCCCAAAGCGUCCCACCCAAAGCCUGGGUGGGAACAAGUGGGAACAAGCUUGUUCCCACCCAUCCCUGGCGCGCGUGAGAGAGAGAGUUUUGUUUUAAAAUAGAAUUUAAAAAAUAAAAAUUAUAAUUUAUAAUUUAAAAAUUAAAAUUUAAAAAUUUAAAAAUAAAAAUUAAAAAUUUAAAUUUUAAAUUUGAUAUUUUAAUUUUUUAAAUUUUAAAUUUGAUAUUUUUUAUUUUUCAAAUUUAAAUUUGAUCUUAAAUUUAAAAUUUAAAAUUUAAAAUUUAAAAUUUUUAAAUUUGAAGAUUUAAAAAUUUAAUUUUAAUGUCAAAUUUUAAAAUUUAAAAGUUAAAAAUUUAAAUUUAAAAUUAUAAAUGUAAAAUUUAAAAAUUUAAAUUCAAAUAUAAUGAGAGGGGUAAUAUAAUUAUUUUCUAUUUAUAACUAUCCAUUAUUCUUCUUAUUCCAUUUAAUCUAUACAAAUAUUAUUUUUCUUAUUCCCGAAACCACCUAAUUUUUAUCCAAACAUAAAAUUGAUUUAGUUCUCGUUUAUGCCUGAACUUGUACCUAUCACUGGAAUAAGCCGUUCUUACUUAUAGCCGAACCAAACGAAGCCAAGAUGUAUAUCAAUACACAAUUUAUAAGGUGUAUAUCAUGUAAACAUCUAAAUAUUAAGACACUGUUCUCACCCGUUGAUGCCAGGGAACUGGUCAACGAAUGCCAGGGUGACGGCGGCCUUGAUGAUGUUCGAGGUGUUUCCUGCCACGCCGAG
rnacentral:lncRNA from 1 species